rnacentral:rRNA from 1 species
GUACAGGGGGAUAACAGUUAGAAAUGACUGCUAAUACCGCAUAAGCGCACAGUGCUGCAUGGCACAGUGUGAAAAACUCCGGUGGUAUGAGAUGGACCCGCGUCUGAUUAGCUAGUUGGUGGGGUAACGGCCUACCAAGGCGACGAUCAGUAGCCGGCCUGAGAGGGUGAACGGUCACAUUGGGACUGAGACACGGCCCAAACUCCUACGGGAGGCAGCAGUGGGGAAUAUUGCACAAUGGGGGAAACCCUGAUGCAGCGACGCCGCGUGAGCGAAGAAGUAUUUCGGUAUGUAAAGCU